UACGUAGGGUGCAAGCGUUGUCCGGAAUUGUUGGGCGUAAAGAGCUCGUAGGCGGUUUGUCGCGUCUGCUGUGAAAACUCGGGGCUUAACCCCGGGCCUGCAGUGGAUACUGUCAGACUAGAGUGCGGAAGAGGCGAGUGGAAUUCCCGGUGUAGCGGUGAAAUGCGCAGAUAUCGGGAGGAACACCAAUUGCGAAGGCAGCUCGCUGGGACGUGACUGACGCUGAGGAGCGAAAGCAUGGGGAGCGAACAGG
rnacentral:rRNA from 1 species